rnacentral:SRP_RNA from 1 species
GCCAGGUGUGGUGGUGGACACCUGUAAUCCCAGCUACUUGGAAGGCUGAGGUGGGAGGAUCACUUGAGCCCAGGAGGUUGAGGCUGCAGUGAGCCAUGAUCAUGCCACUGCUCUCAGCCUGGGCUACAGAGUGAGACCCUGUCUCCA